rnacentral:rRNA from 1 species
CCUACGGGGGGCUGCAGUAAGGAAUAUUGGACAAUGGCGGCAACGCUGAUCCAGCUAUCCCGCGUGCAGGAUGAAGGGGCUAUGCCUUGUAAACUGCUUUGGACUGAGACGAAAAAAUGGGAUUCUUCCCAUAUUGACGGUAUCAGUAGAACAAGCACCGGCUAACUCCGUGCCAGCAGCCGCGGUAAUACGGAGGGUGCAAGCGUCAUCCGGAAUCACGGGGGGGUAGGGGUGCGUAGGCGUCCGGAGUGAAAGGCCACAGCUUAACUGUGGGAUUGCUUUUGAUACUGGCGGGCUUGGAUUAGGACGAGGUUGGCGGAAUGUGGCAAGUAGCGGUGAAAUGCAUAGAUAUGCCAUAGAAUACCGAUUGCGAAGGCAGCUGACUAGACCUAUAUUGACGCUGAGGCACGAAAGCGUGGGGAGCGAACAGGAUUAGAUACCCGUGUAGUC